GACGAACGCUGGCGGCGUGCCUAAUACAUGCAAGUUGAGCGCUGAAGGUUGGUACUUGUACCAACUGGAUGAGCAGCGAACGGGUGAGUAACGCGUGGGGAAUCUGCCUUUGAGCGGGGGACAACAUUUGGAAACGAAUGCUAAUACCGCAUAAAAACUUUAAACACAAGUUUUAAGUUUGAAAGAUGCAAUUGCAUCACUCAAAGAUGAUCCCGCGUUGUAUUAGCUAGUUGGUGAGGUAAAGGCUCACCAAGGCGAUGAUACAUAGCCGACCUGAGAGGGUGAUCGGCCACAUUGGGACUGAGACACGGCCCAAACUCCUACGGGAGGCAGCAGUAGGGAAUCUUCGGCAAUGGACGAAAGUCUGACCGAGCAACGCCGUGUGAGUGAAGAAGGUUUUCGGAUCGUAAAACUCUGUUGGUAGAGAAGAACGUUGGUGAGAGUGGAAAGCUCAUCAAGUGACGGUAACUACCCAGAAAGGGACGGCUAACUACGUG
rnacentral:rRNA from 1 species